UACACGACCGUACCGCAAACCGACACUGGUGCGCGAGAUGAGUAUUUUAAGGCGCUUGAGAGAACUCAGGAGAAGGAACUCGGCAAAUUGACACCGUAACUUCGGAAGAAGGUGUGCCUUUAGUAGGUGAAGUCCCUCGCGGAUGGAGCCCAAUGAGGUUGCAAAAAAUCGGUGGCUGCGACUUUUUAUUAAAAACACAGCACUCUGCAAACACGAAAGUGGACGUAUAGGGUGUGACGCCUGCCCGGUGCUGGAAGAUUAAAUGAUGGGGUGCAAGCUCUUGAUUGAAGUCCCAGUAAACGGCGGCCGUAACUAUAACGGUCCUAAGGUAGCGAAAUUCCUUGUCGGGUAAGUUCCGACCUGCACGAAUGGCGUAACGAUGGCCACACUGUCUCCUCCUGAGACUCAGCGAAGUUGAAAUGUUUGUGAUGAUGCAAUCUCCCCGCGGAAAGACGGAAAGACCCCAUGAACCUUUACUGUAGCUUUGUAUUGGACUUUGAACAGAUCUGUGUAGGAUAGGUGGGAGGCUUUGAAGCAGGGUCGCUAGAUCUUGUGGAGCCAACGUUGAAAUACCACCCUGGUGUGUUUGAGGUUCUAACCUAGGCCCGUAAUCCGGGUUGGGGACAGUGCAUGGUAGGCAGUUUGACUGGGGCGGUCUCCUCCCAAAGUGUAACGGAGGAGUUCGAAGGUACGCUAGUUACGGUCGGACAUCGUGACGAUAGUGCAAUGGCAUAAGCGUGCUUAACUGCGAGACUGACAAGUCGAGCAGAUGCGAAAGCAGGACAUAGUGAUCCGGUGGUUCUGUAUGGAAGGGCCAUCGCUCAACGGAUAAAAGGUACUCUGGGGAUAACAGGCUGAUACCGCCCAAGAGUUCAUAUCGACGGCGGUGUUUGGCACCUCGAUGUCGGCUCAUCUCAUCCUGGGGCUGUAGCCGGUCCCAAGGGUAUGGCUGUUCGCCAUUUAAAGAGGUACGUGAGCUGGGUUUAAAACGUCGUGAGACAGUUUGGUCCCUAUCUUCCGUGGGCGCUGCAGAUUUGAGGAAGCCUGCUCCUAGUACGAGAGGACCGGAGUGGACGCACCUCUGGUGUAUCGGUUGUCACGCCAGUGGCAUUGCCGAGUAGCUAUGUGCGGAAGAGAUAACCGCUGAAAGCAUCUAAGCGGGAAACUCGUUUCAAGAUGAGAUCUGCCGGGGCCUUGAGCCCCCUGAAGAGUCGUUCAAGACCAGGACGUUGAUAGGUCGGGUGUGGAAGCUAAAAG
rnacentral:rRNA from 1 species